rnacentral:rRNA from 1 species
UACGUAGGGGGCAAGCGUUGUCCGGAUUUAUUGGGCGUAAAGAGCGUGUAGGCGGUUUGGUAGGUCCGCUGUGAAAACUCGAGGCUCAACCUCGAGACGCCGGUGGAAACCAUCAGGCUAGAGUCCGGAAGAGGAGAGUGGAAUUCCUGGUGUAGCGGUGAAAUGCGCAGAUAUCAGGAAGAACACCCGUGGCUAAGGCGGCUCUCUGGGACGGUACUGGACGCUGAGACGCGAAAGCGUGGGGAGCGAACAGG